rnacentral:lncRNA from 1 species
CUGGUUUUUAGCUUCUCCUCCUCCUUUCUCUCUUCUCUCUCAGGCUCUCUGUCCCGCUGACGGUGGACCAUGGCCCCUGCACCAUUGGCCAUGGGGGAGCCAUCACCCCGCCAGGACCUCACCUCCUGCAGAAGGCACAGAAAGAGUUAGGAGCAUGAGCAGGUCAGGCGGGAAUCCGGGGACCUGUGCACCGGAGGCUGGAGUCGAGAGAGUGCAGGGUGGGAGGCAGCUGAGAGGUUAGGAGCAGCAGGGCCACCGGGUACAGCGGGAGGAGCCUGUUAGUGCCCUGAAGCACCUCCACCAGCAGCAGCAGCAGCACCGGCAGCCCAGCGGGCUCGGCCCACUACCUUCUCGUGCUCCUGCCGGCUCAGGCGCAGAGCCAGCUGCAGCUGCAGGUCCUCGUCCCUGUGGGAGGCUGGGGGGACAGGCUGCGGAGGAAGAGAGGGGUAAACUUGGCCCUGUACCCCCACCUUGGGACCAGAAGGGCAGUAUAGGCCUGCCUGGGUCAUGGGGAUGGAGACACUAAUGCCCACCCUCAGUGUGCAUGGGCCAUUUGCCCCUUAGUCGGCAGGGUGGGCGUGGCCUUCUCCCUGCCUGCAUCUGAAAUGCAGUUUAAAGGUCAGGAAGACUGAUCUUUCGCUUCUGAAUCCUCUGAGAGUUCCUCAGGCCCUCCUGUCUGAGGCCCAGCUGCUUCCUGCCUGGUCUUCCUGGAUCCACAGAGGGCCAGCUGCAGCUGCAGUUCCUCUUCCCCUGACGUCUGAGGCCGGGCCUGCUCCAGGUCGGAGGUAUAGCGGGGUGACGAAGAGGAGGCUGCAAUGACCAUCAUGUCUCUGUGACCACACGAUUACCCAUCGGCUCCCACACCCCUCUGCCUGCCAGGAAGCUGAGGCUCAAAGAAGAGAACUGAGAGGAGGGGAACAACGGCCGUUGAGGCCCCCGUGGGCCAAGCAGUGUGCCAGGCACUCUGUAAGUUCCCCAUCCCAACCCAUCUCGGAUGGAGGGACGGAUCCAGUCCUUCCUUAGCAGAUGCACAGGCGGCACUUAGGGCCCCUGACCAGGUUCCUGAAGCAGGACUUGAACCCAGGUGCCCUGACUCCAGCUCUUGGACUUCCAGAUGGACCCCGUCCUGCUUGGGGGCAAGGGAGGUGUGAGGAUAGGAGGUUCUAGUCCAACAAGGUCACAACCUCAAAGCCCUCAGCAAACUGUCAAGGGCUUUAUGGAAGGCGGGCCAUUCUGAGUAUUCCUCAGAUCCUGGAAGCCCCCAUGACUGGGGGCAGGAGAGUCAGGGACUGUCUAGCCGCUGCCCUCAGGUAGGGGGAUGAAGGGGAACGCCAUGUGUCUGGGUGCAGGGUAGAGGACGUUCCUGAACCUGGUCUCAUUUCAUUCUCAGAUCAAACAAUGGAGGUAGGUGAGCUUAUCCCCACUGUACAGAUGAGGAAACUGAGGUUCAGAGAACUGGUUGCCCAGGUCACACAGCUUGGAGGAAGCAGAAUAUAGAAUGCUAUCUGACUCCAAACCCAUGCUUCCACUAUCGCG